AUAUAAUGUUUGCCCCAAAAUAUAGCANAGACCACGAAAAUGCCAUAAAAAGUACAUUAAGGUCAAAAUUUGGAGUAGGAAAAAAAAUCAAUAGGAGAAUUCCAUUUUCCUUCCUCAUUCAUUGGAGAGCUCUCUUUGGGCAUUCCAAAAAGGUAUCACAUGCCAAGUUUGGCCUCACGGUCUAAAAGUUAUAGAGUAAUACAUUUUUAACAAAAAAAAAAGAGAAAAACCGAAAAAAAGAGGGAUGCAACACGAAGACUUUUCUGGAGGUCACCCAUCCUAGUACUACUCUCCCCCAAGCACGCUUAACUGUGGUGUUCUGAUAGGAUCAAGUGCAUUAGUGCUGGUAUGAUCGCAUCAGUUACUACAUGCAAUGCAAUCAUAUAUAUUCUUUUUUGAAGACUUUAUGAUCCAUUGUCGUAGGUCCCACCAGCUAUGUAGGAAUACCCUUUCUUGUUUAUAAGAGCUUUGAUACAUGCAAAAUAUUCGAAAACAAUGUCCGAACAUAUAAUUUUUGUCCCGUAAUAUAGCAAAGAUCACGAAAAGGCCAGAAAAAAUACAUUUCGGUCAAAAUUUGGAGUAGAAAAAAAGCCCUUCCUCAUUCAUUGGACAGCUCUCUUUGGGCUUUCCGAAAAGGUAUCACAUGCCAAGUUUGGCCUCACGGUCUAAACCUUAUAGACUCAUACAUUUUUCACAAAAAAAAGAAGAGAAAAGCCAAAAAAAAAGAGUGAUUAAACACGAGGACUUUCCUGGAGGUCACCCAUCCUAGUACUACUCUCGCCCAAGCACGCUUAACUGCGAAGUUCUGAUGGGAUCUGGUGCAUUAGUGCUGGUAUGAUCGCAUCUGUUACUACAUGCAAUGAAAUCGUAUCUAUUCUUUUUUGAAGAUUUUAUGAUUCAUUUACCGUGGGUCCCACCAGCUAUGUAGGAAUAACCUAUCU
rnacentral:sRNA from 1 species